GUGGGUCUAGCUCAGUGGUAAAGCACAUGCUGAGCGUGCAUGAGGUCCUGGGUUCAAUCCCCAGUGCCUCCA
rnacentral:tRNA from 1 species